AAAAUUUUAUUGCUAUAACUUUUCUGAAUUUCGGAACGUAUUUAAUAAAUUCUGUUUUAUCUAUGGUAUGGAUAUUUACUUUGCAAUAAUUUUCAUGACAUGAGAUUACAUUUUGCUGCAAUUACAAGCGAUUUGAUCUGGUUUUGUUAUAAUUUCGUUUCAAUUUUAUGCGAAUAGGUACUGAGUUUAUAAAAGUAACAUAAUAUUGUCUUGUAUAUAAUUAGUUUUUGUGUAUUUCGGAUUCCGUUUACAUCUAGGUACCUACUAUGUCGGGGUCCUACGAGAAAGCUGGCGUAUCAACGCCACGAAUAUUCAGGCGCCCGUAAAUCGUCAAAACGAGUGAAAAGCGCAUUCAGUUGGAUACAUGUGGACGACAAGAUAGUAAACCUGUAAAUUAUAACUCAAGUUGUGGCCAGCUUCAUUGUAAACAAACUUUAGUUUUCAAGUUCAAGGACAAAUGCGUGUCAGUAACAUGGAUAAAUGCUACUUCAUAUGUUUUAUUUCAGUCAAUGAACCUUUGACUGUUAUAGAAGUUUGUCGAGAUAAUAUAAUGACUUUAUCAGCAAUAUGAUGCCAAAGUUAAUACACGUUUUUAAAGAAUGUAUUCUGCCAGAAAUAGUUUUGAGACAUGUUCAAAAAAAUGCGAAAUGUACCUAUACCUAGGUAUGAAAGGUACACAAUUUUUUUUAUUUUAUUUUAUGAUUUCCAUUGAUUUCAAUCUAUAUUAUAUUUUUUUCUUGUGGGAUAUUGUUUUCAUCCACAUCAAAAGUUAAACACAAAAUAUACUAAUUAUAGUAAUUUUCUUUCGCAGCAGCUGUGUAGCGGUAGUUUCCAGGCAAUAAUGAAGAAGGAUGAGUGAAAACAACACGACAAAUGUUUUUUUAUUGUACUUUUAUAGUAGUGUGUUUAGAAUCUACAUUAUCAAUGUUUACAGUCAUGUUUUUUUUGAUGUCAGAAAACUGAAAUGGUGUACUCGUCGUAAUGAACAUAAUGUUCAUAAUGUGAUAUGAAUACAUUGACCUAUUUUAAGGUUUCUGAAAAACAAAAAGGAAAGUUGUUGCUUUUUUAUUUCCUUAUGUAGUAUAGUGAUUAUGGAUGCUUAGAUAUUCUCAAACAUUUUUCCGCUUUGAUUGCAAUCUAUUAUUCUGGUUGCCUUGUUUAUGAAUUAUAGUUUUGAAUUAUUAUUUUGAAUGAGAUUAUUUUUUAAUAAUCAGUCAUGUAUCAAGCAUUCAUGUCACAUAAAUACUUGUAAUAAUUGCAGGUUAGUAUAUACAUUCUAUUAAAUAAUGUAUAAGAUAAUAAAAUAAAACUGUCUUACAUUGCA